rnacentral:rRNA from 1 species
CGCGGAUACGAGAGAUCGUAUCCUUCAGUUCGGCUGGAUCGGAGACAGGUGCUGCAUGGCUGUCGUCAGCUCGUGUCGUGAGAUGUUGGGUUAAGUCCCGCAACGAGCGCAACCCUCGCCCUUAGUUGCCAGCAUUCAGUUGGGCACUCUAAGGGGACUGCCGGUGAUAAGCCGAGAGGAAGGUGGGGAUGACGUCAAGUCCUCAUGGCCCUUACGGGCUGGGCUACACACGUGCUACAAUGGUGGUGACAGUGGGCAGCGAGACCGCGAGGUCGAGCUAAUCUCCAAAAGCCAUCUCAGUUCGGAUUGCACUCUGCAACUCGAGUGCAUGAAGUUGGAAUCGCUAGUAAUCGCAGAUCAGC